ACGAACGACCACAGGUUGCAGAAAACAGAGGAUCCCGUCCGCUCUCCUGUACUUAAGCUGCAAACCGGCUGAUUAGUAUUAACGUGGGUGACCAGUUGAGAAUCCCAGCUGUUGUUCGUU
rfam:Hortaea werneckii EXF-2000 unitig_12, whole genome shotgun sequence.